rnacentral:rRNA from 1 species
CGGAAUUACUGGGCGUAAAGGGCAUGUAGGCAGUCCGUUAAGCGGAGUGUGAAAGACCACGGCUCAACUGUGGGAACGCGCUCCGAACUGGCGGACUAGAAUCUAGGAGAAGGUAGUGGAAUUUCCCGUGUAGCGGUGGAAUGCAUAGAUAUGGGAAGGAACACCUAAGGCGAAGGCAGCUACCUAUGCUAAGAUUGACGCUGAGGUGCGAAAGUGUGGGGAUCAAAUAGGAUUAGAUACCCCGGUAGUC